UGGGGAAUUUUGGACAAUGGGCGCAAGCCUGAUCCAGCCAUGCCGCGUGCGGGAAGAAGGCCUUCGGGUUGUAAACCGCUUUUGUCAGGGAAGAAAAGGUUCUGGCUAAUACCUGGGAUUCAUGACGGUACCUGAAGAAUAAGCACCGGCUAACUACGUGCCAGCAGCCGCGGUAAUACGUAGGGUGCAAGCGUUAAUCGGAAUUACUGGGCGUAAAGCGUGCGCAGGCGGUUAUGCAAGACAGAUGUGAAAUCCCCGGGCUCAACCUGGGAACUGCCUUUGUGACUGCAUAGCUAGAGUACGGUAGAGGGGGAUGGAAUUCCGCGUGUAGCAGUGAAAUGCGUAGAUAUCCGGAGGAACACCGAUGGCGAAGGCAAUCCCCUGGACCUGUACUGACGCUCAUGCACGAAAGCGUGGGGAGCAAACAGG
rnacentral:rRNA from 1 species